ensembl:lncRNA
AUAAUACCUGUCAUGAAAUCAGUAAGGGAACUCUGAACUACAGUUCCCAAAAGCCACUGCUUCAUUAGCACUCUUGUAUAUAGCCACUGUUUUGCACUGCUUCCUUGUCUCCCGUUAUCAUCUUUCUAUGCUUUUGUCCAUGCGUCCAUGUUUAGUUUUUGCCACAGUAUUUUGCCUCAUGUUAUUGUGUCUUUGUAUUUUGUUUGUUUGUUUAUUAAAUCCUUUGAAAUUCUGCAUUUGCAUCCAUCUCCAACUUUGAAAUGUGACAUUACCUAUAUGUUUCUUCAAACAGAUUAUUCCAGAAGUAAUCAAACCCCUUCUAAAAAUAAACAAUUCUUCCCUUAGUACUGGCUAUGUGCCUAAAUCAUUUAAACUAGCAGUUAUUAAACCCCUGAUUAAAAAACUUCACCUCGACCCCUCUCAACUGUCCAGCUAUAGACCUAUAUCAAAUCUCCCCUUCAUCUCUAAGAUCUUAGAAAAGGUUGUAGCAAAGCAGUUAUGCUCGUACUUUCAUAGGAACAACAUUCAUGAAAUGUAUCAGUCAGGAUUUAGACCUCAUCAUAGCACAGAGACAGCGUUAGUUAAAGUAGUAAAUGACCUUCUACUGACCUCUGAUCAGGGUUGUGACUCGCUGCUUGUGUUACUUGAGCUUAGUGCAGCUUUUGAUGCUAUAGAUCAUACUAUUCUCCUUGAUAGAUUAGAAAAUGUUUAAAUAAAGAUUAUCUGCUAUUGCAUCCACCUCUCUAGAUUUGUAGAGAAUGCCAAGCCUUAACAUGGAAGCAGCAGGUUUAAUGAGAAUGAAUCAGUAAUUGACAGCACUGAACCUCGUUUUCUUUGAGCAGCAGCAGCAGCUUGAGAUGGUCAGCACCAUGUGGAGUCAGCCUGCUGCAAACUUUGCCCAAGAGAUUUUUUUUAUGGGAGAAGGCUCCAGCCCAGCUCAGUGAUUUCGUAGUUACUUGCUGAGGGUAUCAGUUCCCACCCUGCCCCACUAGGGACAUCAUGCUGCCUCCCUAGCCUGCUGAUAAUAUGAUAGAAUGUGAUGGAUUUGAUGUGUAGAAAGUACAGCUAGAGAAAUUGUGAGGGUACCUAGCAGUGGCUAUUCAGGAGAUUCAUUUUAUGACUCCAUUGAAAUUAUUCUUUUCAGAAAUCUUGCAUUAAUUUAAUUCUCAAAUAUUAGUAGGUCUUAUCUUAUCAUAAUAUUAUCAUAAUGGUAUGGAGCCCAUUAUCAGACAUAAAGAAUAUAACUGGGUAACAUAUACAAGUAUCUGCUAUGUAAUACAAUGGAAUUAGACCCGCAAGAAAAAGUGCAUUUUGUACAUGGUACGUUACAUGGUAAUGAAAGAGUAACUAUUCAAUUGUCGUCGUCACAAGAGCUUGACAAAACAUAUGAAAAAUUACCAAAUUAUUACUACAUCUAAUCUUUAAAAUACUCUUUGUAAUAUAAUGGAAGUAUGGUUGUGAAAACUUUAAUUAUUCAUUAAACAUUAUGGGCUGUAUUCAGAGUAGAGUUUGGCAUGCAUGGUGAAAAAUUAAUUUUUAAAAAUAGUGUUUUGGGUCUGGAUCAGUAUUCAGACCUCAGACAUAACCAUGGACACUACUCAGACAGUUGUGCAGGAUUUGCAAGGAUGGAGGUGAGGAAGGAGAAGAACACCCCAAAGAUCUCAGUUCAAGAAUUACACAAUUUAGUGGAUUCUAAAUGGUCACAUUUCAAAAUAAAGAAUUAGAGACCACUGCCAUAACAAAAAGCUAUUCGGACAGCUAGAAACCCUUUCUAUAUGCGACCCAUAAUUCCCCUAAACUCCGCUAAACUUUACGUAGCUCUAAGUACAAACAAUUAGCAAUCUUGGAAUCAGAUACAACUAAUCGGAAAUGAACAUCAUAAUCUUGUCUGGAGAAAAAAAAAGGUAAUUAAAUAUGAUAAAACAGUAUUUAUACCGACAGGAAAAAAAUUGCCUAUAAUUUUUUAGCACUAUGUGGUAGCUGAUGGGCGCAGGGACUCUCAUGGAGAUUAACAGCAUUGCAAAUACAAGCAUAAUUUAGCCUAAAAUCCAUAUGUGGAUCUUUCAUCAAGCUGACAACAAAUCAACAGAGAACACAAAUCAUCAGAGGUGGACAUCUGACUAAUCACACCCAUAUGUGAGGCACUAAUGUCAGGCGAAAAGGCCUGGCACAUAGGCCAGUUCCAAUUCAUCCCAAAAGUGUUCAGUAGGGUUGAUACUACAGCAAUGCAAAAAUAUUCUACACAUUUAUGUGUUUCAAACUUCGUGGAAACAGUUUGGUGAAGGCCCACAUAUAGGUGUGACGAUCAGGUGUCCACAUACUAUUGGUCAAAUAGCGUACUUCUGUUAUAGUGGUCUUAAAAUAAGUCUUUUCUGUGAUUCAUAUCUGAAAAAUAUCAAUUAAUAUUCAUUUUGAGGCUUUCACCAAAAUCAAGGAAAAUUCACUUCUGUGCUUUAAGAUGCAUUAACUUCAGUGGAAUGAGUGACAGCACGAUACAGAAUGGUUAUUCUGUAGGGUCAGUUUUGCACAGCAGUAGAACAAUCAGAUUCUUCUUGGACAAAGGGUUGCUUUACACUGUUAAAAUGCACAGAAAUUUAAAGCACCUAAGCAAUAUAAACACUGUAUUUUUUACAGACUGUUUAAGUUAAAUAAAAUCAUUUUCUAGUACUUAGACUUCUUGUUUUAAUGUUGUCAGGUCUUGUAAUGUGUGAAGGGACCAUGGGAGUUGGAGUGUAUUCUAAAAAUAUAAUGGAUCUCUGGUAGUCUAGUUCAGUUUCGGUCUGAUUCAACAUUAAAAAUAUAACGAAACUUACUGGCUUUGAUCUUAUUUUCUCCUGUCUCUCAUGAGAAUUGUUCACAAGUAAUUCAGAAAUUUCUGCUUUUUUCUGAUGAGUAAUGCCAAAAAUAAACAAAUAUUAAAUCAUGUAAAAUUCUUCCCAGUUUCUGAAAAGUUGCUGAAAUAAUGUUCAUUAUGUCUUUGUAAACAGGUCCCCUGUAUUCAAGUCAUUGUAUAUGUUUUCCCCCCAAUUUCGGCAGUGCUUGGGAAGUUCCUGCAUUUUGUGUCAGCGCAGCCGUGGAAUUUGUUCCUGUUGGUGUACUGUAGGCUUUAGGUUUAGGUAUCCUUGUGGGGCCAGACUGCUGGAAUGCUUCAACAGGUACCUGUUGGGAAAGAAGAAGAGGACAUUGUCAACACACCUGCACAACUGUCAGUCAUUCUGGGUUCAUAUGCCCAUUGGCCGAUCUGCCAUUGUUAUUACACUAUUCACUGUUUCUUACAUUUCUUGGGUGUGAUAUAUAACAUCAUAGCACAUUAUGUCAGUUGGCAGAGAUGCAUGCAGGUGUUGGUCAAAGGCUGUAUUGUUACAACAGGCAAACAGAUCCAAAUCGUGAAGCAAAGUCAAAGUCUGGCAGUGGUCAGGCAAUAAAGAAAUGGGAAAAACAAGGCAUUUUUCUGAAGGAUUCUGAAAUCAGGGGACAGACAAAGAUCAUAACCAGAUAAAUAAGCAUAAACAACAAGUCUUGACAUGUCAGGAUACAAGGCUACACUGAGCCAUACUUUGCACAGAUAAAUGCUUGAGUGUAUUAUUUAUAGUGUGUUUGAUCGAGUCAGGAGUGUGUGUGUGUGUCAGGAGAUGAAGCCCUUGGUGGCCAUGUUUAUAUGUCACAAUGUCUGUUGGAAGUUAUAUGCUGAUUCUGCCAUUGAUUUGACACAUUAAAGAAUUAGUCCUAAGGCCCAGAAUUAUGCAUCUUGCAUCUUCUUAAUAGUUAAGCAAAGUCAAAUCCAGCAACUUACUAAAAGAACCAGCCAAAAUAAGCCAAAUCUGUAAUGAGUAAUAUAAAUAAUAUAUUGUACAUUGCAUGUAAUAAUAUAAUAAUCAUUUUACAAUAAUGUUUAAUACUAUUAGCAGCAACCCAGUAGGUGAUUACACAUUAUCAUAAUAAUUUGUGAGUAAUUUCCUUCAAUUAAUACUGGGGAAAGUAUGCGCAUGUGCUUACUUUGUAACUUACUUUGUAAGUCUUUGUAACAAACGGACAUGUACGGUAUACUAAUUGUAGCUAUAUCUCAAGGACUACAGUUCUUUCCUCCACUCAAAGUAAAAAAUAGAACUUUUUUUCACACCUGACAAAGUUUUAUUACAUAAAAUAUGAAGUGCUACAGUUCUUUUACUUUAAAAGGUCAAAAAGUAAUAUUAGAGUGACUUUGAUUACAUUUGAAGAGGAAACUGACCUCAGAACAUGAAGUCACACAAAAAAGCUAGUUUUUUAGUUCCUUUGGUGUUUGGAGGUAUAAACCAUGUGAUAACUUUCCCACGAGACAACCCCACUCUAUCCUACUGUUCUUUUCACAGGGAAAUGUGUUAACAAAUCAUUAGCACAGUAUCAUUCAGAAAUACUCAUAUACCUUCACACUGAAUUCAAGCAGCACUAGAAUUUGACUGCAAGAACAAAAAUCUCAAUUAGACUAGAGUUUUAUACAAGGAGAUUAUUAUUAAGUCGCCACACUGAUGUAACUAAUAAAACAAGCUAAAAUGUAAAUAAAAAUUAACAUGGGUGAUGGUCUGGCCACCUGUCCUCCUCUAUAGGUUUUACUAUUGUUUUUUUAUUCCCCCUGCCCCCCAGCAUUGCAGCCCACCACCUACUGGCCUGUGUCAUGUCCUGCCCCUGAAGAUUGAUUGGUUGGCAUUACAGGGAAGGUUAUGGAGCAGGGGUCAGGAACCUUUUUCCAUUUGUUAGUUUAUACUUUUUUUUUUUCUCAAAAAAACCAUUGCAAAAAUCUCUUCUGUGUGUGAGUGCAUGUGUGCAUGUGAUUCUGUAAACUCAUCCAGUGCAAGAGAAAGAAAAUCUGCCAAAGUUAAGCCUAUAUCCAUGCUCUUUAUCCUCUCUAUCUCACGUGCCAUCAAGACAGCACGGUCAUGCACAGUUCGGGCUGACAGGGGCACGUCUUUUAUUUUCUGAAUGAUUUUCUCCUUGUUUGUGAAAUCCGUAGACAGUUCAGUUUCCAUACUCAAUGUGCAUGACUUUACAUAUCCUCCGUCAGUAAAAGUUUUUUCUUGUCUUACAGUCUCCAAUGAGCCAGCAAAGCUGGCAGCAUUCAGGCUUCCAGUUGCCCCUGUCCACCGGAGCUCUGCAGGGGAGACCUCUUCACAGGUCUCCCUAGGUAGGUUUGGCCAAUUUCAGUUUGUAUGUAGGAGUGUUUUUUCCUCUUGUUGGGCACCUAACGUGUUGCCUGUAUUUAAGAAGUUCGUCACUGAGUUUUGCUCUGUUGAAGUCAUUUAAAAUGAUGAGUAAGUCCGGGUGGUUCUGCUGCAGAUUCCUUAGGCUUGUGGUGAAAUGUAAACAUUCAUCAGAACAAACAACGGAUUCCCAUGAUGAACAGAAUGGUUUGCAGUUUUUGAUUAGCGUUUCCAGAGAGGGCUCACAGACUAUUUUUUAAAACAGAUACAUCUGUACACCAACCUUUGUUUACAUAGAAGCAAACACCACUGCAUAACCAAGAUGGCACCCACCGUAGCAGAUGUCUGUGUACUCCUCCUGCGGCCAUCAUUAUUUGUCAUAUAUUUUUGUUUGUUUAGUAUUUCUUAAAUCCUUAAAUGUACAUAAAUCAUCUGCACUCAUUACAUAAGACAGAGAAACACUACUGAAAAUUGGAAAACAAACAUCCAAGCUUUCUUUCAGUCUGUCAGAUCUGGAUUACCUCCUGCAUCCGAGCUCACAUCAGUGAGGCCCACCAACACCAGAAUGGAGUGAUCAGCGUAGGUGGUGGAAAGAGCAAUCUAAGCAGUGACUAGGCAAGAGAGGUGGGCUACAGGCUAGGCUAAAGGCUAGAGCAAACUGACUGCCUCUCCCUAGCUUACUGCUAGCAAACAUCUCAUCCCUCAAUAACCAGCUGGACGAACUUAGAAUUAGGAUCAUAUCACAGCGAGAAAUCAGAGAUUGCUGCAUGCUCAUUUUCACAGAAUCCUGGCUAUUUGACUACACAAUGGACUCUGCGAUUCACCUGUAGAUGCACUCCAUCCACCACAGGGACUGUACAGCAGUAUUUGGGAAACAGAAAGGUGGAGGUACCUAUAUCUACAUUAACAACCAGUAGUGCUCAGACAUGUAGAUUGUCAGUAAACACUGCUCAAGUGACAGAACAAUUAUUAGUGAAAUGCAGGCCCUUUUAUCUGCCAAGAGAAUUUACAGCUGUAUUUCUCCUGGCUGUUUACAUUCUGCCACACGUGAACUCCACAGCAGCACUUAAUUCGGUUGCACAUUAUAAACACACAAGAAACUGUACACCCAGAUGCUGUGUUUAUCAUCGCAGGUGACUUCGAU